AUUGAACGCUGGCGGCAGGCCUAACACAUGCAAGUCGAACGAGUGGCGGACGGGUGAGUAUUGUCUGGGAAACUGCCUGAUGGAGGGGGCUAACGACUGGAAACGGUAGCUAAUACCGCAUACCAUCAGAUGUGCCCAGAUGGGAUUAGCUUGGUGGUGGGGUAACGGCUCACCAAGGCGACGAUCCCUAGCUGGUCUGAGAGGAUGACCGGCCGCACUGGAACUUAGACACGGUCCAGACGCCUACGGGAGGCAGCAGUGGGGAAUAUUGGACAAUGGGCGCAAGCCUUAUGCAGCCAUGCCGCGUGUAUGAAGAAGGCCUUCGGGUUUUAAAGUACUUUCAGCGGAGAGGCGUUACCCGCAGAAGAAGCACCGGCUAACUCCGUGCCAGCGGCCGCGGUAAUAC
rnacentral:rRNA from 1 species